rnacentral:rRNA from 1 species
AUUGAACGCUGGCGGCAGGCCUAACACAUGCAAGUCGAGCGGCAGCGGGACCUUCGGGUUGCCGGCGAGCGGCGGACGGGUGAGUAAUGCCUAGGAAUCUGCCUGUUAGUGGGGGAUAACGCGGGGAAACUCGCGCUAAUACCGCAUACGUCCUACGGGAGAAAGCGGGGGCUCUUCGGACCUCGCGCUAACAGAUGAGCCUAGGUCGGAUUAGCUAGUUGGUGGGGUAAUGGCCCACCAAGGCGACGAUCCGUAACUGGUCUGAGAGGAUGAUCAGUCACACUGGAACUGAGGCAGGGUCCAGACUCCUGCGGGAGGCAGCAGUGGGGAAUAUUGGACAAGGGGCGAAAGCCUGAUCCAGCCAUGCCGCGUGGGUGAAGAAGGUCUUCGGAUUGUAAAGCACUUUAAGUCGGGAGGAAGGACUGUAGGCUAAUACCUUGCAGUUUUGACGUUACCGACAGAAUAAGCACCGGCUAACUUCGUGCCAGCCGCCGCCGUAAGAC